GCUGAACUUAAGCAUAUCAAUAAGCGGAGGAAAAGAAACCAACAGGGAUUGCCCUAGUAACGGCGAGUGAAGCGGCAACAGCUCAAAUUUGAAAUCUGGCCUCACGGUCCGAGUUGUAAUUUGUAGAGGAUGCUUCUGGCGACGUGCCUUCCGAGUUCCCUGGAACGGGACGCCAUAGAGGGUGAGAGCCCCGUCCGGUCGUGCACCUAGCCUCUGUGAAGCUCCUUCGACGAGUCGAGUAGUUUGGGAAUGCUGCUCUAAAUGGGAGGUAUACGUCUUCUAAAGCUAAAUACCGGCCAGAGACCGAUAGCGCACAAGUAGAGUGAUCGAAAGAUGAAAAGCACUUUGAAAAGAGGGUUAAAUAGUACGUGAAAUUGCUGAAAGGGAAGCGCUUAUGACCAGACUUGGGCUCGGUGAAUCAUCCGGCGUUCUCGCCGGUGCACUUUGCCGUCCCAGGCCAGCAUCAGUUCGCGCCGGGGGAUAAAGGUUUCGGGAAUGUAGCUCCCUCGGGAGUGUUAUAGCCCGUUGCGCAAUACCCUGGCGUGGACUGAGGUCCGCGCUCUGCAAGGAUGCUGGCGUAAUGGUCAUCAGUGACCCGUCUUGAAACACGGACCAAGGAGUCGUCUUCGUAUGCGAGUGUUCGGGUGUCAAACCCCUACGCGUAAUGAAAGUGAACGUAGGAGAGAGCUUCGGCGCAUCUCCGACCGAUCCUGAUGUUCUCGGAUGGAUUUGAGUAAGAGCAUACGGGGCCGGACCCGAAAGAAGGUGAACUAUGCCUGUAUAGGGUGAAGCCAGAGGAAACUCUGGUGGAGGCUCGCAGCGGUUCUGACGUGCAAAUCGAUCGUCAAAUAUGGGCAUGGGGGCGAAAGACUAAUCGAACCUUCUAGUAGCUGGUUUCCGCCGA
rnacentral:rRNA from 1 species